CGGAGCAGGGAGCAGGAGAGGGGAGAGAGAGUCGAGAGGAGAGGGAGCGGGAGAGAGGUAAAGGGGAGGGAGGCUUGUGGUGGAGUGAGGGGAGCAGAGACCGUGGACGGGACUGGAGGCGGCUCCCAAAAUCCCUGGACUGUCCGGCGGUUUAGGGGCCGCAGCACCCCCGCAAUCCCUGCUGUGAGGGCGCGCAAAACCCAGGCAGCAACGCUGCGGGCUGCGUUCUGGAUGCACUGCUCUCCCGCGGAGCGCCUCCCGGGAACCGCAGAGGGUGCGCCGGCCCUGGCGUCGAGGGCCUCCUGUGGAAGGGUGAGAGGUAGCGAGGGGACCUCACGCAAGGAGCAGAUGCGGAGCAGGCUCUGCUGGGGGGCCGCCAGAAGGUGGAGGGGCGCAGGGAGCAGCGGCAGAGACAGCGAAUCCCAACGGAAAUGUGAGCCACGUUUACCAAUGGGACAACUUCCACUCCUGCUUUCUUAAUGGAACUCUUGUUAGAACGGAUGCAUUAGACUUCGCUCCUCGGACGGCAUGAGCCAGCUCCUGUCACUCCUCUCCUGCAGACUUCCCAGACACGUCAGGCUCCGGCUUUCGCUGCCAAGGGCCAGAGCCCUGUCGGUGGCCUCCAGGGUCCCACGUGACCUGGUCUCCAUCUGCCCUGCUCCCUUGUCAGGCAGUCCCCUGACCUCCAGUCCCACAGGGUGGCACCAAACCACAAGGGGCCCGAUGCACAGAUUCCCGGAGCAGUGAGGCCCUCUGCUGCCGAGCAGCGCACUUCAAACUACAGCCAGGCAGUUUGAGAGACUUCUCCGGAGCCUGAAGCUGUAUCCUUGGGAGGAGGAAGGGGAGGGAGUGCAGGGCGAGAUGGAGGAAAGGAGGGGGACAGUCCUGUGUUUGGGGGCAGCAAGCAGGUUAGGUAUCUGCCUGGGAUACCAUAUGAGCACCAGUUCCAGUCCCGCUGCUCCACUUCGGAUCCAGCUCCCUGCCAAUGCACCUGGGAAAGCAGAGAAGAUGGCCCAAGUGCUUGGGUCCCUGCCAUCUACGUGGGAGACCUGGAUGCAGCUCCUGGCUCUUGACUUUGGCCUGGCCUAGCCCCAGCUGUUGUGGCCAUCUGGGGAGUGAACCAGUGGAUGAAAGAUCCCUCUCUCUCUCUCUCUCUCUCUCUGUGUGUGUGUGUGUGUGUGUGAAUCUCUCUCUGUAUAACUCUUCCAAAUAAAAAAUAUCAAAAAUAAAAAGUGCGGUGCUUCGUGAUAGGGGAGGGAGAGACUUGUGGCAAUCUACCCUACAGCAGGGAUAUGGGACUGCCUCCCAGUGGCUCCUCACCAGGUUCCCAUAGCCCUGCUCCAGGAGGAAUCACAAGGCAACAGCUAAGAUUCGGGUCAGACGAUGGUCAGGCCUUGCCUGCACAGCCUGUGUAGAUGAGGAAGCUUGCUGGGCAUUUCAGCAGAGCCAAUCAAUGCUUUCCUUGCUUUGUGCACACACACCUCAAGCACCCUUUCACAUUGGGCCUUACAUUGACUGCUCCUUCUGCAUGAAUGCUCUUUCCCCAGACACACACCUUCCUGAUUAGUUUUCCUUCUUCAAGUCUCUGCUCAAAUCGUGCUGGCUCAAAGGCCUGCCUUAUGCAAUACGCUUUUAGUUACCUGUUGCUGUGUGGGAGCAAAACACCAGCCAUUCUGUUAGAUUCAUGGAUGCUGUGAUCAGAGAUAUGGGUGGAGCACAGGGUAGAUCAGUUGUCUCUGUGUUUUUAGGCUCAAGUAGUUGUGGCCUAGAAUUAUAGAAAACAAGGGCCAACAAACUACAAGCUAUGAGCCUACUACCUGGCUUUGCAUGGAAGUGUUAGCGGAACACAGCCGUUCAGGUUUGUAUUGUCUACGACUACUUUGUGCUGUACAGUAGGACUGAGAAGUUGUGACACAGACACCUUGGCCAACUUCUGAUCUGAAGGCUCAAGCACUCACAUAGGUGCCGCCCACAAGGAGGGGACGUGGAGACUGGGGCUGCAGACCAGAACGUCUCAACAAGACUUCUCCAUGGCAGCCUUGGCUUCACGGAAGUCACACAUGGCAGCUCAGGGCUCCAGGAGUUAGCAUUCCAGUGAGCAAGAUGACAUGGCAUAGCUCCACCUCACCCUUCUCCCUCUCUCCCUCUCUUAAAGAUUUCCUUUAUUUGAAAGGCUGAAUGACAGAGGAGAGAGAGAGACAGAGGAAGCCACUGGUUCACUCCCCAAAUGGCUGCACUGAUAUGGGAUGCCAGGGUUGAAGGCAGUGGCUUAACCAGAUGUGUCACAAUGCCAGCCCCUAACCCUACUCUCUUGAUGGAAGCCAUCAUGACCCUACCCACAGGAAGGAGAACCCUAUACCCCAUCUUUUGAUGAUAGACGUGUAAAGAAUUUGUAGCCAUGUUUUAAAACUUCUACUAGUGCCAAAACCUAGCUAAAAUGUGGGAUAUCAGGUCUACACUAUGCAUUUUGUGCAAGCCCUGUACCCAGAGGACAUUGCAAUUGUUCUAAUUAUUCAGAUGGCCAAAACAUGAGACUAAAAACACCAGACCCUAUAUUACACUAUGAUUCCUGUGCCUCCAGGACCUCUGCCCAAAGACGACAUUUGUACAACUUCAACAGGCCAACACUCACCUGGAACCCACACUGUAGGGCCCUCCCUGCUUCCUGGAUCAGCUUAGACUUUGUGUGCUACAAGUUAAAGCCUGUCUCAGUCUGUUUCCUGUUGCUUUCACUGAAUACCACAGAUUAAUUUAUAAGGAAUAAAAGAAGCGUGCGGCUCAUGAGUCUAAAGGCCUGGAGGUCAAGGUCAGGCAGCUCCACUGUGGAAAGUCCUUGCUGCUGGGGAUUCUGUGUAGACUCAAAGCAGCGCAGGGCACCAUCUCUCUUGCUUUUUGUACAAAGCCACUGUCCCGUUGCAUCUGGGCACCACCUCUAUGGCCUCAUUUGACCUCAGUUAUCUCCCAGUGUUCCCAGCUUUAAAUUCCAUCGUCUGGUUAGCUCUCCUCCCUCUUAAUACCUCACAAUGGGGCUGAAAUCCCAACACAAGUUUUGGUGAGGACAUUUGACUCAUAGCAGAACCUCUACAUUCAGACAUGGGGUUGGCCUAGGACACUCUGUGAGUGACUGUGUGAUAAGAAAUGCCCUCAUCCUAGUUUCAGUGCCAGAGAGCCAUUCGUUCAUUUACCAUUGUGCAGAGAUGGACUAAGCAUCUGCUCCACUCCAGGUAUAGAGCAAUACUGAGGGAGCCUCUAUCUCACGGACCCUAGCGCCAGUCAAGGUCUGGGCCACUCUGGCUGUCACCUCCAACAUCCUCCUCACAGUCCUCAUGAGCCUGGUUUUCCUUUAAUGCACCAUGCCUCCCACACACAAUUCCUGCCUGUCCCUGCGUCUGGAGGAGACAGUCUGUUUCUCUUCUCUAAAGUCUCUGGCUUUGAAUCUUAGGUCAUCAGACUGUGUCAGCCUUGCUUGUGGCAGCCAGAUGGGUCCACUGCUCUUAUUCCCUAAAGAUUCCACAAACUGUAUCAUGGUCAUUCCCUUCAUUUAAGAAAAGAUUUUCUGGGGCCAGCACUUUGGCACAGUAGGUCAAUCCUCUGUCUGCAGUGCUGGCACCCCAUAUGGGUGCCAGUUCGCAUCCCAGCUGCUCCUCUUCUGAUCCAACUCUCUGCUAUGGCCUAGGAAAGCAGUGGAAGAUGGGCCAAGCCCCUGAACUUGUAUGGGAGACCCAGAAGAAGCCCCUGGCUCCUGGCUUAGGAUUGGCCUAGCUCUAGCUGUUGUGGCCAUUUGGGGAUUGAACCAACGGAUGGAAGACCUUUCUUUCUGUCCUCCCUCUCACUUUCUGUAACUCUACCUCUCAAAUAAAUAAUUUAAAAAAUUUAAAGAUAAGUAAAUAAAAAAAAUUAUUAUUUAUGUGAAAGGCAGGCAGAGAGAGAGAGAGAGAGAGAGAGAGAUCACCUAUCAUCUAGCUCACUUCCCGAAUGGCGGCAACAGCCAGUGCGGGGCCAUGUCAAAGCCAAGAGCCUGGAACUCCAUCCAGGUCUCCCAGGUGGGUGACAGGGGCCCAAGCGCUUGGGCAAUUCUCUAUUGCUUUCCCAAGCACAUUAGCAGGGAGCAGGAUUGGAAGUGGAGCAGCUGGGACUUAAACCGGUACUGACACGGGAUGCUGGCAUCUCAGGCAGCGGCUUAUCCACUGAACCAUGACACUGCCUUUGUACCACCCCUGCUAUGGUUCUUGGUGGUUUCCUGUACAUACAGAUGAUGUGCCACCACCACAGAUUCUGUGCCUUUGACUUCUUGUCCUCCAAUCAGUGCGCUGAGCAACAUGUUGGGAAUGUAAGUGCCAGGUUCUUGAAGUUUGCUGAAGAACUGGGAUGAUACCAGUAAGACAGACAUCUCAGAAUGCUGAAAGUCUUAAGAGAAUUAGAAGCAUCUUACAGGUUUUUGGAUAAUGUCAAUGGUUCUUGGAAGAGACUCCAUCCAAUGCACAGAACACAUGAGGAGUAUAAGUGGACAGCUCUCGGGAGACCAUGCUGAGGGUGAUGUAAUCCGUUUGGAAUACUGCAUUGAACACAAGUGUUCAUCAGUUGUAUAACUGUAUAGCUGUUAAACAGGGCUGCAUUACUAAAAGAGACUAGCCAGAUCUAAAAUUUAUAGUUUGUUACAGAAAAGGAUACAACAUAGCAAAUAGCAGCAAAGUAAGAAUGUGCAUCGCGGGACAGGGGUUUGCAAUAGCAGCAAUGAUGCCACCCGGGACACCAGCAUUCCAUACCAAAGUGCCUGGUUCAAGUCUUGGUUCUGCUCCAGAUUCCAGCUUAUAUAGAUCAUGGGAGGCAGCAGGUGAUGGAGUCCUGCUACCCUCAUGGGGGACAUGGGUUGUGCUCCCUGCUCCUGGCAUCAGUCUGGCCCAGCCUCGGCUGCUGUAAAUAUUUGGGGAGAGAACCAGUAGGUAGGAAAUCUCUCUCUCUCUCUCCCUUGUCUCUCUGCCUUUCAAAGAAAUAAAAUAAUUUUUAAAAGAAUGUACAUUACAACCAAAAGAGUCCUUUAUCCUCCUUUCCACAUAGAACGUGGCCACAGGGCCAGUGUUGUGGUGGGUGCAGUGGGUUAAGCCAUCGCCUGUGACGGUUGAUACCAGCAUGCCAUUUUUUGAGUGCAGGUUGGAGUCUCAGCUGUUCUGCUUCUGAUCCAGCUCCCUGUUAAUGCGCCUGGGAAAGCAACAGAAGAUGGCCCAAGGGCUUGGUCCCCUACUACCUACAUCAGAGACCCAGAUGGAGUUCCUGGCUUCUGGCUUCAAUCUGGCACAGCCCUGACCAUAACAGUCAUUUCAGGAGUAAAUUGACAGACAAAAAAUCUCUUUCUCUCUGAUCUCACUCUGCCUUUUAAAUAAAUAAAAUAAAUAUAAAAAAUGUGA